rnacentral:misc_RNA from 1 species
GAGAGAGAGAUGAAAAUAUAUGAAAGAAGUUAGAAUUAUCAAUUCAUCUAUAAGAAGUGUAAAGUGCAGAGGACAUUUUUCUUUCCCAAAGAAGCAAUCAACUAUGAGAAUUAAUCACAUGAUAAGCAUUCAGCUUUGCACCUCUUCACUAAAAGCACAAUAACCGAAUCAUAUCUUAUUCUGAUGGUGUCAACCUAUAGCAUGACUAUCAAGAAAAUCAAUUACUUUUUCCCAAUGGUCAUUGUGCUGCAAUAGCACAGCUAUCCGAAUUUUGCUUACUUUCAAGAAUUUCAAAUAAAACAUUAAAGCACAAGACAAGUUUCUUUCAAAUCUCAUAAAGUUUGUCACAGUUUUGAAUACAUGAACUUUUGGUAUGGUAACAAACCCAUUAACCAUGGACUCAAAAUAUGAGAAUGCAAGUGAAAGAACUUAUGGCAACUGAACCCAAUAGCUAGGAUAGAUCUCUUAAACGUUUUCCAGAAUUUUACUAUACAAUCAAUUAUUACCCUUGCAUUGAUUGAAUAGAGAUGAUACCUUCACCACUCAGUGCUGUGAAGCAAUGGCAUUUCAUAACUCUGACUGCCAUAUUCAAAGGGUAAAAGACUCCUUUUUUUUUUUUU